rnacentral:lncRNA from 1 species
CCCUUUUCAGUCAUGUGCAAAUCCUUUCUUAUCUGCAUGAUGGUGAUUACUGACAUUUAUUAAGGAAUUGCUGAAUGCCAAGUACGUGCCAACCAUACAUAUUUUAUUUGAUCCUCACAACAACCCAAUGAGGUAGGUUCUCAUUUUACAGAAAGGAGGUCAAGGUUUCCAGAGGUUAGCAAAUUUCUAAGUCUUAGAAAAGUAUGUGACAGAGGCAGGAUUUAAAUGCAGGCCUAACUUAACCAUGAAAGUGUUCUGCCUCUUGUUGAAUUUAAAGAUAGAAGAAUAGACAUAGAAGUUUAUAGCCUCUCCUUUCAGAGAGCCUGCUAAAAUAUUUGAAAAGAUAAAAGAGGCUUAAGCUUGCAAGUACAAAGAGAAUAGGAGAGAAGACAUUAAUUGAUGAAAUAUUUCAAUCAUAUUUCAAAAGACAGGAAAGGAAUGUAGGAAAGGUGUCUGAUAUAACCAGAUUGAGGAUAUCAUAUCUUAAAGGACAAGCAAGAAGUUGGUACUAACAAGGAGACAAUAAGUUAGUCCUGUAGACUCCUGGAGAAGCUCCGAAACUGAGGAAUCCAGUACAGCAGAGAGUGUGGGAAUAAACUGAAGAAUAUGUUAACAUGGGAAACAGUCUGUGUACCUCACUUACGGCUCAGGCAUAGAACCCUAGCAGCUGUGUAAUCACCCCCCCAGGCAGGAGGCUGAUUAUUCUUUGGAGAAUGGGAGGCAAGAGCCUCAGGAUUUGGAGACAAUAUGCACGGCCUGGCCCAGAAUUAGUCAUAGGGCUGCAAGCGAGAGAAUUAAUUGCAAAUCUGCCUAUGGCAUGGCCGUACUCCUCAGUGCUUUUCCCUCUCUUUGCUCCUAGGAUGCAGGUUGCCUUUUAGACAGGACAGGAGGAUUCCUUGCUGGAGAAACUGAGCCGUUCCACACUCUCCCCACGUGAAAGAGAAAGAGCAAAAACAACGAAGUCUGAGAAACUGCCACAGUUGAGAGGGGCCUAAGGAGACGUGAUGAUUGAAUGUCCUGUAGGAUCCUGGAUGGAACAGAAAAAAUCAUUAGAUAAAAAGUUAGGAAAUGUGGGUAAAGGAUGGGCUUGGAUUAAAACUAUAUCAAUAUUGGUUCAUUCAUUAUAGUAAAUGUGCUAUUAAGAUAUUAAUAUUAUUAAUUUAAUUUAUAAGGAAAACUGGGUGUGGCAUAUACAGAAAAUCUCUGUACUAUCUUUACAUGUUUUUGCAAAUCUAAAACUAUUCUAAAAUAAAAAAAAAUAUUUUUUAAAAAAGGAAAAAUAGUGGUUGCCCCUUGGAGUAGACUAGGAAUGAAAGUGUGGGAUAGAGGCGUCUUCUUAUAAUUUUCUCUUCUUGAAAAUUACAUUUUAAAACCACGUGAAUGCAUUAUUUUGAUGAAAAUAUUAAAAUAUAAAAAAAAGUUCCCCUCUUUGCUCAUGCUUUUUCCUCCUUCUGUGAUGACCUUCUCCUCAUCUUUGUCCAGUAAAUCUUGCUCAGAUCUUUAAGACUCAAGACAAAUGCCAGACUCUGAAAUUUGUACCAAUUACCCCAAGGAAAAUUAAUUAUGCCCCCACUUUGUGUUACCCUUGCAUUUGCAUAUGUAAUUAUGCAGCAUAUCACACCGCAUCAUUAUUAUUGGUUUAGUGUCUGUCUUCUCUACCAGGAUGUGAGCUCCUGGAGGGCAAAAACUAUCUUAUCCAUCUUUAUGUCCUCAGUGAUAAUAGAGUAGCUGGCUCAUAAGAUACUAAAGAAAUAGAUACUGAGUUAAUGACUGGGAAAAAUGAAUCAAUAAAUGAAUAAAUUAACAGGAGGAGCAAUCUACUGAAGAACCAUUGGUUUAUCCUCAGCAUUUUUUAGUUCCAAGAAAGAAGAGGGGAUUGUACUACAAAGGUUAUCAAGUCCUAGUCUGAAUAUGAGAAUCAGAUCAAGAAAAUUACCAUCUUGGCACACACUGGGAAGAUAAGCUGGUGCCAAAACACUGGGCUUGUCAGCAAAAGUAAUGUGUGUAUGAGUUUAAUAUGAACUAAAUAGAAAAUAUUCAUAAAAUACCUUUAAGAAAGCAAGAUCAUGUACUUCUACAACUGCAAUGAAAAUAUGCCAUUUUUGUC